rnacentral:rRNA from 1 species
AUAUCAGUCAUGCAUAGCAUAUCAAUAAGCGGAGGAAAAGAAACUAACAAGGAUUCCCUUAGUAACGGCGAGUGAAGCGGGAAGAGCUCAAAUUUGAAAUCUUCAAGGUUCUACCUCGACGAAUUGUAGUUUAUAGAAGUGUUUUCUGUUAGUGGAGUGGCAAAAGUUCUUUGGAAUAGGACAUCAUAGAGGGUGAGAAUCCCGUAUUUGACCAUUAUUUCCAGCUGUGUGAUACACUUUCAAAGAGUCGGAUUGUUUGGGAAUGCAGUCCAAAAUGGGUGGUAAAUUUCAUCUAAAGCUAAAUAUUGGCGAGAGACCGAUAGCGAACAAGUACCGUGAGGGAAAGAUGAAAAGAACUUUGAAAAGAGAGUUAAACAGUACGUGAAAUUGUCAAAAGGGAAGCGUUUGACACCAGUGUUGUUUUUCCGAAAAUCAAUUACGAAUGUUUUGUUUUUGAGGAGUUAUGACUUCAUCGGCUUGCUCCUUUCUUUACGAAACUUUCUUAAUGCACUUUUCGGUUAACAAGUCAACAUCAAUUUCUUUUGUUGUAAAAGGGUAUGAGGAAGGUGGCUUUCUUUUCGGAGAAAGUGUUUAUAGCCUUGUGCCUCUGCAAUCGGAGAGAUUGAGGUCUGCAGCGUAGAUCCUUCGGGGUUAGAUACGUUUGUGCUAAGUUAUAGCUUUUCAUAGACAACUUGUUGACUAUGUUUAGUCUUGUAGCUUACUCGCUGAUGCUAUUUUACCUACGCUUAGGAUGUUGAUGUGAUACUGCGAGCA